GGGGACGUUACGGAUUCGACAGGGGUAGAUCGAGCUUAAGUUGCGAGCCGGAGGGAUCGUCUCCGUCAUCAACGUCACCUAAAUAUAACUGGCAAAGAAAACUACGCUUUAGCUGCUUAAUUAACGCAGCUAGCUCCUCCUUCCAUCGCCCAUGUGGAAGUGUAGGGGUUCAACCAAGUGGGCUACGCCGGAUUCCGCCGCCUGAGGAUGAAGGAAGAGACCAAUCAGGCUAGCUGGUCGGACGCCUGUCGGUAGGCAGAAGAUGCAGCGAAAAAUAAUAUACCGACUACGCUCGUAGACGCUUAAGUGGCGAUAUCUCUGGACGUGGGUUCGACUCCCACCGUCUCCACCA
rnacentral:tmRNA from 1 species